GUGAACGCUGGCGGUAUGGAUAAGGCAUGCAAGUCGAACGGGUUUAGACCCGUGGCAGACGAGGUAGUAACACGUAGGAACGUCCCCCAGAGUCGGGCAUAUUCCGUCGAAAGACGGUGCAAUUCCCGAUGGUCCCGUAAGGGUAAAGAUUUAUCGCUUUGGGAGCGGCCUGCGUAAUAUCAGCUAGUUGGUGAGGUAAUGGCUCACCAAGGCUAUGACGUUUAGGGGAGCUGAGAGGCUGACCUCCACCGAUGAGACUGAGACACGGCUCAUACCCCUACGGGGGGCUGCAGCCGAGAAUAUUCGACAAUGGGCGAAAGCCUGAUCGAGCGAUACCGCGUGGUGGAUGAAGUGCUUCGGCACGUAAACAUCUUUUAUGAGGGAAGAAGUUAUUGACAUUACCUCAUGAAUAAGGGGCUCCUAACUCUGU
rnacentral:rRNA from 1 species